rnacentral:misc_RNA from 1 species
GAUGAAGAACGCAGCGAAAUGCGAUAAGUAAUGUGAAUUGCAGAAUUCAGUGAAUCAUCGAAUCUUUGAACGCACAUUGCGCCCGCUAGUAUUCUGGCGGGCAUGCCUGUCCGAGCGUCAUUUCAACCCUCAAGCCCCCGGGCUUGGUGUUGGGGAUCGGCGAGCCUCCGCGCCCGCCGUCCCCUAAAUCUAGUGGCGGUCUCGCUGUAGCUUCCUCUGCGUAGUAGCACACCUCGCACUGGGAAACAGCGCGGCCACGCCGUUAAACCCCCAACUUCUGAACGUUUGACCUCGGAUCAGGUAGGAAUACUCGCUGAACUUAAGCAUAUCAAUAAGCGGAGGA